rnacentral:rRNA from 1 species
UACGUAGGGUGCGAGCGUUGUCCGGAAUUACUGGGCGUAAAGAGCUCGUAGGUGGUUUGUCGCGUUGUUCGUGAAAACUCACAGCUCAACUGUGGGCGUGCGGGCGAUACGGGCAGACUGGAGUACUGCAGGGGAGACUGGAAUUCCUGGUGUAGCGGUGGGAAUGCGCAGAUAUCAGGAGGAACACCGGUGGCGAAGGCGGGAUCCUGGGCCAGUACUGACGCUGAGGAGCGAAAGCGUGGGGAGCAAACAGGG